rnacentral:rRNA from 1 species
ACACCAGACUCCUACGGGAGGCAGCAGUGGGGGAUAUUGCACAAUGGGGGGAACCCUGAUGCAGCGACGCCGCGUGGGUGAAGAAGCGCCUCGGCGCGUAAAGCCCUGUCAGCAGGGAAGAAAAUGACGGUACCUGACUAAGAAGCCCCGGCUAACUACGUGCCAGCAGCCGCGGUAAUACGUAGGGGGCAGGCGUUAUCCGGAUUUACUGGGUGUAAAGGGAGCGUAGACGGCACUGCAAGUCCGGAGUGAAAGCCCAAGGCUUAACCAUGGGACUGCUCUGGAAACUGUGGAGCUUGAGUGCGGGAGGGGCAGGCGGAAUUCCUAGUGUAGCGGUGAAAUGCGUAGAUAUUAGGAGGAACACCAGUGGCGAAGGCGGCCUGCUGGACGAUGACUGACGUUGAGGCUCGAAAGCGUGGGGAGCAAACAGGAUUAGAUACCCCUGUACC